UACAGAGGUCUCAACCGUUGUUCGGAUUCAUUGGGCGUAAAGAGCUCGUAGGCGGUUUGUCGCGUCGAAUGUGAAAACCCGGGGCUCAACCCCGGGCCUGCAUUCGAUACGGGCAGACUAGAGUUCGGUAGGGGAGUCUGGAAUUCCUGGUGUAGCGGUGAAAUGCGCAGAUAUCAGGAGGAACACCGGUGGCGAAGGCGGGACUCUGGGCCGAUACUGACGCUGAGGAGCGAAAGCGUGGGGAGCAAACAGG
rnacentral:rRNA from 1 species